AUUAUUACCGAAAUGGAUCCCAGUAAGCUCCACCUCUACUCUAUAAUGCUUGAUCCCAUUAUUAAUAUUAUUAUAUUGGUCAACUUUCAAUGGCUUUGCUGACUUAUGCUGAAAACAGCAGAAAACUUUCCUCUAAUCACGCAACCAAAAGUGAAAUCUGAAAACAAAAGAUUAAAACAAAAGUAUGCCAUUAUCAUCAUAUGUGAGCACACGUUGGUCAGAUGAGAAUUGAGUAUUUCAAGAUGCAGUUUAGUUGUUCACACAUGAUGAAUGCUUAAUUAAUCUCUAAUAGUUGAUCUAAUUAGUUUUCAUGAUUUUUCUGUAGGUCAUAGCUCCUGUCUCUAUGAGU
rnacentral:misc_RNA from 1 species